GUCCCAGAAGGAGAAGAGAGAAAUGGGCAGAAAACGUAUUUGAAGAACUAAUAGCUGAAAACUCCCCUAAUAGGGAAGGAAACAAACAUCAAAGUUCAGAAAGCGCAGAGUGUUCCAAACAAGAUCAACCCAAGGAGGUGCACACCCUGACACAUAAAAAUUAAAAUGUUGGGUGCCUGGGUGGCUCAAUGGGUAAAGCC